CGUGAAUUUGUCCCUGUUGCCGCUAGGCGCUGGGCCGCCACCAGGGGUCAGGGCGAAAGCCAGAUAUAAGAGCGUUCAGACUGGUCCAAUUUCCAAGCGUGACUUUGGCCCCCUGAGCGCCCUUUAAUUUCAGCACCGCCUACAGGCCACAACCCCAGAAACGUAGGUAACAAAGAGGGCCCUAAGAGAGACUUACAUGGAUCCGCCUAGCAAGGGGAAAAAGACAAGAAAGACCUCCUGCGUAAAUUGGUAUUGCUAUCUGGUACCAGCCCAGUGGUCAAGGCCACCGAUUGCUCUUCCAGAGGAUCUGGAUUCAAUCUUCUCAGCACCCACAUGGUGAUGGUGAUUCGAAACUGUCUGAAACUCCAGUUCUGGGGAUUCUGAUGCUUUUUCUGGUCUCCUUGAGCAUGAGGCACACAUACAGUAGACAUACAUAUGUAGUCAGAAGUUUCUGUCCUUCAGCCACUCCCAAAUAACCACUCGGAAACAAUGUUAUUUAUAAACGCGUGGCUGAUAGCUCAGGCUUGUAACUAACUUUUGCAUUUCAAUUAACCCAUCUGCAUAUAUUAUGGACUGGUGGAAGGGUAUGAGGAAGAAUCUGGCUCCUCCAGCUUCAGCGGAUCUAAUGCUCUCUUCUGGCUUUCUUGGGCAUCUGUAUGUGUGAGGUGCACACACACACACACACACACACACACACACACACACACACACACACACACAAAAAGUAAAUCUUAAAAAAAAGAAAAUCUAUGGGCUGGAGAGCUGGCUCAGUGGUUAAGAGCACUGGCUGCUCUUCCAGAGGUCCUGAGUUCCAUUCCCAGCAACCACAUGGUGGAUCACAGCCAUCCACAAUGAGAUUGGGUGCCUUCUUCUGGCCCGCAGGCAUACAUGCAGACAAAACCCUAUAUAUAGAAGAAAUAAAUAAAUCUUAAAAAAAAAUCUAAAAUCUGCCAAUCAAUGAUCAGAAUGAUAAUUUUUUCAGGAUGUAAAGUCAACGUUAAAAUCAGUUGUAUAUAAUUAGUACCAGACCCUGGAUUUGAGCUCUAGUCUUCAGGCUUGCAGGAAG
rnacentral:lncRNA from 1 species